rnacentral:rRNA from 1 species
GAUGAACGCUAGCUACAGGCUUAACACAUGCAAGUCGAGGGGAAACGAUAGAGAAAGCUUGCUUUUUCUAGGCGUCGACCGGCGCACGGUGAGUAACGCGUAUCCAACCUGCCCACCACUUGGGGAUAACCUUGCGAAAGUAAGACUAAUACCCAAUGAUAUCCCACGAAGGCAUCCGAAUGGGAUUAAAGAUUUAUCGGUGAUGGAUGGGGAUGCGUCUGAUUAGCUUGUUGGCGGGGUAACGGCCCACCAAGGCAACGAUCAGUAGGGGGUUCUGAGAGGAAGGUCCCCCACAUUGGAACUGAGACACGGUCCAAACUCCUACGGGAGGCAGCAGUGAGGAAUAUUGGUCAAUGGGCGAGAGCCUGAACCAGCCAAGUAGCGUGCAGGAUGACGGCCCUAUGGGUUGUAAACUGCUUUUAUAAGGGAAUAAAGUGGGUCACGUGUGACUUUUUGCAUGUACCUUAUGAAUAAGGACCGGCUAAUUCCGUG